CUCAUGUGAUAUCAGCUCACGGCAAAAGUUAAGGAAUAAAAAAAGAAAAGAUCUUUCUUCUUUCCACCUACUGAAUUCUGCCUGAACCUCUCCCACUCCCAUACACACACCAACACGCCCACUGUUCCACAGCAAUAUACUGCUUGGCAUUCUGGCAGGGAACAGAAAGACAAAGCAUCAUGGGAAGAAACGGUUAGAAAAAAAUAACUGAAAGAUGUGGAAAUUUUUAUGCUCAGAGGCUCUUGGCAGUCAAUGAGAAAUAGGAGAUUGGAAUGGAAACUAUAAAGGGGUGCUGGAAAAGGUCAGAGAAAAUCAUCAUCAUAAAGUGAAGUGAUUUUCUUCUUUAUGAGCUCCUGAUGUAAACAGACUGAUGAGCACAACACAAUCCUUACUCACCCACAUGACAUCAUACACAAUCACAGCUAAAUGUUUCUAUCUGUCAAAGCCUGAAGAGUGACUACCAGAUUGUUGCCUGAUUGCUAAGAAUUGAUGCUUGUUCAACUGGGAUCUAUCCAGAGAAACAUAAUCCACUUCAAGAAUUUUCUGAAAAGGGAAUCUAAUGCAAGGAAUUAAUUGCAAAGAUGAUGCAAUAUCUGAGAACGAUAGAUUUGACAGUUUGGUCUACAUUUCAAGGCUGGUUAGAUGGGAGGUAUGUCCUGGUAUAUUAGUUAAUUUAGGUAUAUCUUACUGAUUUACAUUGCAUGAUUUAUCAGAUGCUAUUGACUCAUUCAAGUAAAUACAUUUAAAAAUUAUACCUUUUGCUCAUACUAGUAAUUGGGUCAGUCAUGCUCUUGAAGGAGGCAUACUGGGAGCCAUACAUUACCAGAGGCAGAGGAUUCAAUGGAUGUUUUCUGUUUUCUCUUCUUCGUGCUCUGUAAUUGAGACACAGAACAAAGGAGGAAGACUAAGUGCUCUGCCUUAACUCAGGCCAGGCUGUGGGCGCAAGUGCACCAACGGCUUUGAGACUAACACACAGCUCAGAACAAGGAGGUGAAAAUCUGACAGCUCAAAAUGAAGCAAAAACCCAAGAUUAAAACAGACACCAUUUUGUGCCCACUCAGUCUUCUUUCCAGGGUCAUACAUGUGUUUAUAACCGCACUUCUACAUUCUAUUAUGAGGGCAAGAGUUGUGGCUGCUAUAUAAAUGCUUCCUAGCAUAGUUCCUGACAACUAGGUGAUUCAUGAAUAUUUGCUGAAGAAAUAAAAAUAACUUUAUGAA
rnacentral:lncRNA from 1 species